UAUCGGAACGUGCCCAGUCGUGGGGGAUAACGCAGCGAAAGCUGCGCUAAUACCGCAUACGAUCUAUGGAUGAAAGCAGGGGACCGCAAGGCCUUGUGCUCCUGGAGCGGCCGAUAUCUGAUUAGCUAGUUGGUGAGGUAAUGGCUCACCAAGGCGACGAUCAGUAGCUGGUCUGAGAGGACGACCAGCCACACUGGAACUGAGACACGGUCCAGACUCCUACGGGAGGCAGCAGUGGGGAAUUUUGGACAAUGGGCGCAAGCCUGAUCCAGCAAUGCCGCGUGAGUGGAGAAGGCCUUCGGGUUGUAAAGCUCUUUUGUCAGGGAAGAAACGGCGCCGGCUAAUAUCCGGCGCUAAUGACGGUACCUGAAGAAUAAGCACCGGCUAACUACGUGCCAGCAGCCGCGGUAAUACGUAGGGUGCAAGCGUUAAUCGGAAUUACUGGGCGUAAAGCGUGCGCAGGCGGUUUUGUAAGUCUGUCGUGAAAUCCCCGGGCUUAACCUGGGAAUUGCGAUGGAGACUGCAAGGCUAGAAUCUGGCAGAGGGGGGUAGAAUUCCACGUGUAGCAGUGAAAUGCGUAGAGAUGUGGAGGAACACCGAUGGCGAAGGCAGCCCCCUGGGUCAAGAUUGACGCUCAUGCACGAAAGCGUGGGGAGCAAACAGGAUUAGAUACCCUGGUAGUCCACGCCCUAAACGAUGUCUACUAGUUGUCGGGUCUUAAUUGACUUGGUAACGCAGCUAACGCGUGAAGUAGACCGCCUGGGGAGUACGGUCGCAAGAUUAAAACUCAAAGGAAUUGACGGGGACCCGCACAAGCGGUGGAUGAUGUGGAUUAAUUCGAUGCAACGCGAAAAACCUUACCUACCCUUGACAUGGCAGGAACCUUGGAGAGAUCUGGGGGUGCCCGAAAGGGAACCUGCACACAGGUGCUGCAUGGCUGUCGUCAGCUCGUGUCGAAUCUAGAUGC
rnacentral:rRNA from 1 species